UGGGGAAUAUUGCACAAUGGGCGCAAGCCUGAUGCAGCCAUGCCGCGUGUAUGAAGAAGGCCUUCGGGUUGUAAAGUACUUUCAGCGGGGAGGAAGGCGAUAAGGUUAAUAACCUCGUCUGAUGACUGUACCCGCAGAAGAAGCACCGGCUAACUCCGUGCCAGCAGCCGCGGUAAUACGGAGGGUGCAAGCGUUAAUCGGAAUUACUGGGCGUAAAGCGCACGCAGGCGGUCUGUCAAGUCGGAUGUGAAAUCCCCGGGCUCAACCUGGGAACUGCAUUCGAAACUGGCAGGCUGGAGUCUUGUAGAGGGGGUAGAAUUCCAGGUGUAGCGGUGAAAUUGCGUAGAGAUCUGGAGGAAUACCGGUGGCGAAGGCGGCCCCCUGGACAAAGACUGACGCUCAGGUGCGAAAGCGUGGGAGCAAACA
rnacentral:rRNA from 1 species